CCAAUCUUCACGUUUUGUUUCAUGAGGAAAAUGACUAAAGGUUUCUUACAACAGAUGGACCCAAGGGCCUGGAUGACGGAAAACUCCAGAGAAGGGACCUUGAAUUUCUCUCCAUUAACCUAAUCACACAAGAUGAAGAGCCUCACUUCAGGAUCUGUAUAGCAGAGGAGGACGUGUAAGCUGUAAGGCGUUAAGUUCUGCCAGGAGGAUGAGACGAGUGCGCAGGUGUCGACGCCCCCACCGCCUCCACUUCAGCCUCCAUCGCUGGCCGGUCCUCGUCCCACGAGGAGGCUCUGCGAGGCGUCCCUGCUUUUGACGCCUUGCCACCACAAGGAUUGUGAGAACCACCACCUCCAGCCACCGUCACCAUUUGGUCCCCGUCACCCCCCCCAAAGCAGGCGGGGGCCUACGCCAAAGAGAAUCACUACUGCAUACUUCAGUGUCUCAAUAAAUAUCUUAAACUUUAAUUUGGUCUAUCGAGUCUUUCAUGGUAGAAGUGGAGCUUCUCCCUAUUCCCCCUCCCACAAAUCCAUGAAAAAUGCACUUUUAUUGACUGUGGAAUUGGACUGUGUAACUAUUUUGUACACAAAUGUUAUAUGACCCACUCUUGCACCUUUAUUGCUAAUCACAGCUCCUUGUCUACCUUUACUGC